CCGUGACUAUGAAAAAUGACUGCUCAAUAAAGACUUGAGUCACCUUGGAGUAAGUCAAGCCACAUAGUCAACAAUGUCUCUGUCUAAACUAUAGAAUUACUAAAUCGAAACACACUAGAAUAACUUCAAACACUGGAUCUGUAGAUCUACGUGUAUUCCAAAAUCCUGGUCUUCUUCAAUCAUGUUCUCAAACCAAUCAGGGAACUUCCAAAGACCAAAUUAUUUAAUCCCCAAACUCUUUCUGGCAGAACCCUCUGAAUUUUUAGAGAAAAACCACGCAAAAUUUUUUUCGAGAUUUUGAAACUUAUUGUUUCAAGGCGGCGAACACUCGAGAUACUUUUCACUUGUCUUCACGAGUCUGAGACCUUACUUCUUCGACUACUCGACUUUUGCUGCAAGUCCUUAUCUCGACAAAAUCUCCUUAAAGUCUCCUCUAUCUCAGAGUCUAUUCUAAAAUA
rnacentral:lncRNA from 1 species